CAAUAAGCCCAACUGACUACGUUACACGGGGCGUACUCUAAUGUACGUUUAGCGUACUGGCUUGCUAGAGAGUACGCGGGGCGUACCUACAAUUACGCUCGGUGUACUUACUCUGUUAAGACACUUCCCAUUAAGCGCUUAAUACUCCGACUCAAGAGCCAUAAACUUAGAUCUAGGUCUUAUUCCAUGCCCUAAUCCAUAAAGUCACUGAAUUGGUGACUUUAUAUGGCCCAAACCAACUCAAACUCCCAAACUAAAUUUCUACUUCCAUAAAUGGGACUAGAUCUCAUGCAUGGACUUAAUAGGACCAUAAAGGUUGGAACUUUAUUGCUUAUGGGACUCAUAUGUCUCUAAGGGAGGCAACCCUGGUCUUAAAAACGAGGUUAAGUCAUAAAGUCCCAAUCUUGGGACCAAAAGGUCCAUAAACUUCUACAAAGGAGAUCUAAGAGGUUAAUCAUCAAGCUCAAGACUUUUUACCUUGCAGAGGUCCGAAAUGAAGCACUUAUCCCAGAUCUACAAGCUCUAGCUUCAAAGGUUCCUCCUUGCCAACCUUCUUCUCUUUGCUUCCAAGCUUUAAUCCACCAAAAUGGGUUCUCCAAGGUCAAGAACUCAUAAGAUGAAGGUAGGGACGUUCUAGGGUUUCUUCUGAGGUUGGGGAGGCUCAUAUGGGGGCUAGGGUUGGAACCAUAAUGUCCUUUAUAUAGUGCUCAAUCCUAAAUUAGGGUUUCAUAACUUUUUAGCAUACGCUGGGCGUACCUCCUGGUACGUUGGGCGUACGCCUUGGACACCCGCGACCCAACUGCCUCAUUACGCUGGGCGUACCCACACGUGUUCCAAACAUGCAUGAAUGGUCUUCUAUGCAAACCCUACUCUUUAAGGGCCAUUCUCGCCAAAUCUUCAAAGUGACAUAACUCCUUCAUUCUAGAUCCGUUUCUGAUGAACUUUAUAUCCACAGAAAGGUGGCGAGAAAUCCUACGCUUCUAACAACCUAACCCGACCCGGAAACUUCUCGAAUAAUAAUAACUCCAAAUUAAAAAAGGACUAAAACACCCCUGGCCUUGGCCUUUGAAAUUCUAUAAAUGAAUAUUUUAGAACAGGGCGUUACAACUCUCCCCCACUUAAACUAGACUUCGUCCUCGAAGUCCGAUAUGGUCAACUAUUUCACAACCCACUUACUGCAUACCACAAGCUAUGCACUGGACACUUUUCGCUAUUUAGCAAUUGAGUACCCAUUAAUGAACUAGUCGAAUUCUACCGUAGUCUGAUUUCCUUUACUGCCACUGACUGAAAAUUUUUGUUUUCCCUUAUCUGCCUUCCGGAUGAACCGAGACCGCCUUGGUCCUUUCUGAUGCCUCCAUAUCUUGUUUACCGGACUCCUACCGAUGACUACACCCCAUCGCAAUCUCAUAGUCGCUUUCAGCGACUUCUAAAGAUACUUCGACUAUCUAUAACCAUUCUAUCCAUUCUGCCACCCAUACUGAAUCGAUGCUGCUGGAACCAGCCUUCUUAUCUCUCAUCUGACUACCCAACCUCCAAAAACUGAGUCUCCCUUCCCGAAAGAAAGGCUACCAGCCUAAUUACCCUUGCAGAUCACUUAUACUUGGCAGAAGAAUUAACUGAUCCUGCUGAGAGGGACUUGCCAUUCCCAAAUCAACCAACUAUACCGUCCUUACUUGAAUUACGACAUAAAUACUAAUACUGCCCAAAACUCUGAAACUAUCCGAACACUGAACUGCCUGCAAUAUUGAACAUGCCUGAAACUCUGAACAGCCUGAAACACUGAGCUGCCUGAAACACUAAACUGCAUGAAACACUAAACAUGCCUGAAUCACUGAAUACGCCUGAAACACUGAACUGCCUGAAACACUGCUUCCCAAAUUAUCUCAAGACCUUCCUGGUCUCCAAUCAUUUGUCGGUUAUCUGCAACACUGAGUUCCAAAUCAACUGUGGAGUCAAAGGACUCCUCACUUAGUCGCUCCCACGACUUCUGAAUGAAAUCUUUCUCUGGAACUAGUGUCCACUAGUUAUCCUGUCACUGUGGCUCUAUCAACCUCCCGAUCCACCGAUCAGGUCCAAACGUCACAUCCUGACAUCAUCAAUUCCACAACUAACAACAUGAUGGCUCCCAGACUAACGGUAGCCCCUAACAUACCCGAACCCCAACGGUCCACUGCUACUCUGAUCUCAUAACUGAGGUGACGAUCAGACUAUCGAAUCGUUGGCUUAACCAUAACUGAACCGUUUGGGAGAUCCGAAAUCUAACCCGUGGAUUCCCAUAUCAUCACUGCUACACCCAAACUGGUGGGUACUACUAUUUCCCCCGCGUCCAAAUAACACGCUCAUGCUAUCUACUAACUUGACGAGCGCUACGGCUACUUCCGCAGACUUACAACACUAUACUACUAUCUGACUGCUAGUGAAUGCUACGGCUACCCCCGCAGACUUACAACACUACUACUACUACUACUAUCUGACUGCUAGGAAUUCUACGAUUACCCCCGUAGACUUACAACACUACUACUACUACUAUCUGACUGCUAUUGAAUGCUACGGCUACCCCCGCAGACUUACAAAACUACUACUACUACUACUAUCUGACUGCUAGUGAAUGCUACGGCUACUCCUGCAGACUUACAACACCACUACUACUAUCUGACUGCUAGUGAAUGCUACGAAUACCCCCGCAGACUUACAACACUACUACUACUACUAUCUGACUACUAGUGAAUGCUACGGCUACCCCCGCAGACUUACAACACUACUACUACUACUACUAUCUGACUACUAGUGAAUGCUACGACUACUCCAGCAGAAUUACAACACCACUACUAUUAUCUGACUGCUAGUGAAUGCUACGGCUACCCCCGCAGAGUUACAACACUACUACUACUACUACUACUACUACUACUACUACUACUACUACUAUCUGAGGACAUCUUGACUAUCCCUAGUCCUACUAGUGAUUCCUCAUCCUGAUUUCUCAAAACCAGCCUUCCAUCUUCGAUUACUGGAUCAACCUCGACAUCUUAUAUCCUUGAUAUACUUAGCGCUUCAUCGAGGAAUUCUUCUGCUUGGUUCUCAAACCAACUGUCUACUAAUCUGGAUACAAGAAGCUAUUGUUGGGAAGUUUCCAAACUCCCAACUCCUGAAUCUGCACAACCCUGCAUGUUGACUCUGUCAGUGGCUAAUAAUACGAAAGCAUCUCUUGCUAAACGUUCUCAGGAUCCUCANACUCACUAGAGCCCUACCGGUGGUCCUCCAAUCCUGGAUUCCCAACCAGCUUCUAACCAUCUCGAUUACAUGAACCAAUUGUUGGGAAGUUCCUCAAACUCCCAAUUCUGAACUCCUCAAUCCAUCAAUCAUUGUGCUACUAUCUUUUCUUCCCAGAGGCCGCGUACUCAUUCUGGGUCUACGUGCUCUUAUCCUUGAAUACUCGGAGGGUUCUCCCCCACUUGGAUUCGGCUAACUCAUUAUUGCUCACUAGUCGAAAGGAUUCCCAACCUUCCUUCCAUUAAAAGGGCGAUUUGCUGUCCGCCAACGUUUACCUCUGUCAGCGCUCCAACUAACUCUUACCAGACCUGAACCAUUCUUGCUAUAUACUGAGCACCCUUCAAUCCUUAACUAUAUUUGCUUUAGGGACUACAUCCCGAGAACCUGCGUUUGGGGUGCACAUCCCCAAUCCACUUCCCCACUGACUGCUAGCUACUCCACUAAAAACUCUGGCUUGUUACUACUGAGAAUAUAACUGAUCAUUACCCAACUAACACCUUCCGCAAGUAGUGAGACACUACAGAAUCUUACACAUACUUGCUACAGUUACUGUAUCCAAAGUAACCUGAUCUAGAGGGGACACCCUCCAAUUCACCAUUCAAUUCCAAGGUAUGCAGAUGGCAUAAAUCUCCGUCGCAAGCAGGUAAUAUAAUACCCCAACACAUAUGCUUAUUGACAUCAAUGCAGCAACAUAACAAUAAUAUCAUGAAUAAUAAUUGACAGGGAGGUAAAAGAUACAUACCUCCAUCACUUGGCGCUGCCCGAAUCCUUGCUGAAAUCAGCCGGAAAACUCGGCUCCGAGCCGUGGGCGCCCUUGCCCGGCUUCGGCAACCGCUGGCGGUACUUGAAGUCCCAAGGGCAGGAGUUGGCACCUACCCUGUUGUAUACAAACUCGGACAGUGGGCCUUCUUGUGGCCCCUCUGACUACAAUGGAAAGAUAUCGGAUCAAGACCAUGGGUGAUGGUAACAAUACAAUCCCUGCUAAAAUGGCCAAUCUGGCCGCACUUGAAACAUCCGGCAUCGCCACCACUUCUAUGCCUACACGCACCCAGGUGUGUCAUACCGCACUUCCCGCAUCGACUACGGCUCUGAUAGUCCCUCGUCCUCAAAUCCGACCCCUUGGGCCUCUUACCCGAACCUAUGGCUACUUGAGUCUCAUCCGUUUUCCUCUUCCUUUCCGAUUCCCUUCCCGUCUCUCGCUCUUGUGUUACCUUGUCGACACCGCCCGUCGACUGAACAACAGCUGUCUAAUCUUGGAGCUUCGCGAUCAACCUAUCUGUGAUCCUCACGACCAUAUCGGGCAGAUCCUCACGAAUGGCUCCCCCCACCUCCUCCACUAUCCAAUCAUGCAGAUGUCUCNAUCUGUGAUCCUCACGACCAUAUCGGGCAGAUCCUCACGAAUGGCUCGCGUAACCUCCUCAAUUAUCCAAUCAUGCAGAUGUCUCUCUUGGAGACAGGAUGCCCCACUCACUCUUAUCCACUGAUGACAAAAACUAGAAAUGGGAUCUCCUUCCCCGCUGGAUCCCAGAACUCCAUAAGCAUCGGGCUCUAUACGAGCCCCAAUCUGUCCUGAAACUAUCCCGGCCCUACAGGCCUCCAGAUGACUGUCCAUAAGCUCCACGAUGGCCUCUCUAACCGAACCAAAAAUCACUGGAGUCUGAUCGAUGAUGUUACGCGUGAUCUCUGCGGAAAUGAAAUCCCUCAUUUGAUUAUCAAGCUGCCCGGCUCCAAAGUCCGAGUUAGAUCCCUCCCCAGUACCUAAACUGCUAACUGGUAUCUCACGCAACGUCACCAUGUUGGAAGCACAACACACUACUGAUCACUAUACGCACCGCUGCUGAGGGACCUCUCACACACCCUAAAAGUUCCCUGGUCUUGUCUCGGCCCCUCUUGAUUCGAGUACGGAUCCUUUGCUUUCAGUAGUACGGGCCCAUACUACCUUCCACAUCUAUCUGUACUUUCCUCAAGAGUUACCUCAACUCCCCCAAAUCACUUAACUGUUACUGAUCUCUGCUACUACCUUCCUAGGCUUGCCCUAAGGAACUUCUGACUCCACCUAAACCAGUCCUCAACUGUUGAAGGCCUCCUUGUAAUGCCAAUUAGCCACCACCUGAAUACCAUCACAUGCAAUGAGGCUCGGAUAAUCCUUCGAGUAAAAGACUUGUCCCUACAACGGUUGGACUCAGACAAGAGCUGCGCAAUAGGGCCAAAUCCAGCACUCUGAGAUUAUUCAACCCUGCUCACAUGUGAUGUGACGUAUUCACCUAAUGGCUAACUCCCAUCACUCAGAGUCCCACAAAGCACAAAGCAUGCAACAUUCGGACACAGGAAAUUACUCAAGCAAAUCUAUUCUCACAACGAGAAACUGUACUAGCAUACAUUGAUAGGCUCAUAUAUCAAGCAUAACCUAAAAAGGCUAUCCUACUACUGUCUACUCACUACUAGCAUGCAAUUCUCAUAAGGCUGAAACACAUAAGCAGGCACAUAAGGCAUCCUCCUAGAUCCUUAGUCCUAUACUAGCAUGCUGUUCUACUGAAGCUGAAAUUGAACUGAAACUGGAACUAAAACUGAAACUGAAACUGAUAAUCAUAAACUUGUAUGGGUAAUUUGGGAGUACUUACUUGAGCUCGGAUGAUUGCAUACACCACACCCUUUUUCUCUUUUCAAGUUAUUUUCUUUCUAACUAUUCUUUUCGCUUUUUCUAAAACUUUUUUUUAACUCCUUUUUACCAAGAAUUCCUUUCGAAAAUGUUUUUUUUUAAAACCAUUUACCGUUUCCUUAGUUUGAGUCCAGACACACUCUCAAGUAUGUCUGAAUCCCUCAAACCAAGGCUCUGAUACCAACUUGUAACGCCCAAAAAAUCAUGACUAAAAAUUUCUUUUUAAAACACUACUAAAACCAUAUUUAUAAAAACGUAUCAUAAGUCCUAACAUAACUUUCGAGUAUUAAAUUCAAAACAUAAUCUCAUUAUCAGAGUAAAACAUUCCCCAGGCUAACUGACUAUGGUGUGUGCACUGCAAUCUCUCCGAGCUCCUCUUUUGAGAAUUGAGUACCUGAAACCAAAACUGAAGACCGUAAGAAUGAAGCUUAGUGAGCUCCCCCAAACUACCACAUACCAUACAAUAACAUUUAGAGCGCAUACUGGGGCUUGCCCACUGCAUCGGACCGAGGUCCGGACUAUCAGGGGCCUUGUCCCCUGCAUUGGACCGAAGUCUGGAAACUGACUGGGACCUUGUCCCCUGCAUCGGACCGAAGUCCGAAAACUGACUGGGACCUUGUCCCCUGCAUCGGACCGAAGUCCGGAACUAACUGCAAAGCAUAACAUAAACAUGUCAACUAGCAUGAACACACAUAUACUGCAUACUGCAUCGGGCCGUGGCCCGGAACACAUAACACAUAAAUCCUAUCUGAGCCACGAAGGCAUCAAACAUACUAACUACUGCAUCGGACCGAAGUCCGGAAACUACUGCUAGCUAAACGGGCCGACAUUAUGGCCUUAGACCCAUUCCUACUGGAAGGAAACUCACCUCGGAAUGCUGGCUGCUGAAAGCUCGAGUGAAAGACCCCCGGCUGCUCUCCGGCUAUCAUGACAAGGCAAACACUAAAUAAAAAGGGAAAUCUUUUGAUGACCAUUUUACCCCUACUAUGGUGUGGGUCAUAACCAAGGCCCAAAACCUUUAAUUCUUCUAAGCCCAUCCAUGGCCCCACUAAAGGCCCACUAAUGGCCCAAUUUGCUCCUUUGGGCCCAAAGCCCUUUAUUGGACCUUACUCAAGUCCAUUAUUAAAUCCUUGGUCAUUAGCAACUGAAUUCUAAUGUCCCAAUAGGGCCCAAGGACCCUAAGUCUCAACUCAGCCCACACUGAGGCCCAAAAUGCAAUAAGCCCAACUGACUGCGUUACGCGGGGCAUACUCUAAUGUACGCUUAGCGUACUGGCUUGCUAGAGAGUACGUGGGACGCACCUGCAAUUACGCUCGGCGUACUUACUCUGUUAAGACACUUCCUAUUAAGCGCUUAAUACUCCGACUCAAGAGCCAUAAACUUAGAUCUAGGUCUUAUUCCAUGCCCUAAUCCAUAAAGUCACUGACUUGGUGACUUUAUAUGGCCCAAACCAACUCAAACUCCCAAACUAAAUUUCUACUUCCAUAAAUGGGACUAGAUCUCAUGCAUGGACUUAAUAGGACCAUAAAGGUUGGAACUUUGCUGCUUAUGGGACUCAUAUGUCUCUAAGGGAGGCAACCCUGGUCUUAGAAACAAGCUUAAGUCAUAAAGUCCCAAUCUUGGGACCAAAAGGUCCAUAAACUUGUACUAAGGAGAUCUAAGAGGUUAAUCAUCAAGCUCAAGACUUU
rnacentral:lncRNA from 1 species